GUGUGAGCCACGGCACCCGGCUGCCCUUUUGUGUUUUUUAAAACUGAGCUUGAUCAAUGGUAGCAAUUAAGAACAGGGAGAUGGCUUUUGGCAACUGUCCUUAGUUAAAAAGACCUCAAACUUAGUUUCCCUCUUUUUUUCUCUCUUACAAUAAUGAAAUCAUAGUAAUUUAGAAAACCAACUUAGAAUUAACACACUUUAUAUAAGAUACACAUGUAUUUACUUUUCAACCUGAACACAGCAUUUCAAUGGCCAAGCGGCUUUUUUUUUUUUUUUAGAGGGAGUCUGUCAGGCUGGAGUGCAGAGGUGCGAUCUCGGCUCACUGCAACCUCCGCCUUCCGGGUUCAAGUGAUUCCCCUGCCUCAGUCUCCCCAGUAGCUGGCAUUACAGGCACACGCCACCACGCCCGCCUACCAAGUGACUCUUUAAACAGUUGUUAGGAAUGUUGUAUUAACAUCUUAUAAUAUUGCUCCACGGAGUAUUUCUACUCGCAUCUGAAUUCAGAGUUUGGGCACCGUUCCUUGAACUACAGAGCCAUUUUCAGACAUUAUUUUCUACCUAAGUAAAACGAUGAAGGGAGAAAAUACAAAUGCCUUUGGCUCUUUCUGAUCAUUCUGGAUCCAUGCAUAAUGGUAAUACUGCUACCAUGUGCUCAAGCCUCGGCUUUUUAAAGCCUCACAACCACGAAUUACACAUUAUUCCAGGGUGAUACGGUCCUGUCUUGUUAUGAUUUUUUAAAAACCCCAAACCUCUGAAAAAUCUUCAGGUACUCCAUCACUCUCGCCUCGGACUGGCACUGGUAAAAUGCACACCCACGCGAGGGCAGGCGAUUUGUUUCAUAAUUUUAUGUCCUCAGCCUACUGGAGCUAAUUUUCUAGUACUUCA
rnacentral:lncRNA from 1 species